GUGUUUGCUUCAGCAACACAUAUACUAAAUUUUGAAUGAUACAGAAAAGUUUAGCUUGGCCUUGCACAGAAUGCUAUGCAAAUUCGUGAAGCAUCACAGAUUUUC